UACAUGUGGGGCAAGCGUUGUUCGGAAUUACUGGGCAUAAAGGGUGCGUAGGUGGUUUGUUAAGUCAGGGGUGAAAUCCCGCGGCCCAACCGUGGAUCUGCCUUUGAUACUGGCGAACUUGAGUGCGUGAGGGGUAGGGGGAACGAGCAGUGUAGCGGUGAAAUGCGUAGAUAUUGCUCGGAAGGCCAGAGCCGAAGGGGCCCUACUGGUGCGUAACUGACACUGAGGCACGAAAGCGUGGGGAGCAAACAGG
rnacentral:rRNA from 1 species